rnacentral:lncRNA from 1 species
GCCUAUGAUAGUGCCCAUCAUAGUGAACCUAAAGUCUAUCGACUGGCUCCACCUGUGGUCAUCUCUAAAGCUAUGGGGCACCACAAAAAUCUUACAAGACUCUUGUACAAGGGUUGAGUGGUGAGUUCCUCUUAUAUUAUUUGAUUUUGUUUCUCUCAUACUAAAGCUUGCACGCCCCAUGAAGGUAGACUUGAGGCUGAUCCAUA